rnacentral:misc_RNA from 1 species
GGAUCAACUCAAAUGUUUAAUUCUGAAGGCUUCAGUAUGAGCCAACAAUACACAACUGAAAGGGCUCUUGUUGAACUAGUUCUUCCCUGCAUAGAUCAAGGUUCUGAUGAGUCACGCAAUACAUUUGCUAGUGAUUUGAUCAAGCAGUUGAAUAAUAUUGAGCAACAGAUAAAUAUGGUUACUCAUGGUGCAAGCAAGCAGUCAGGGUCAACUUCUUCUGGAUUGGAAGGUCCUGCAAAUAAGGGUAGCAAUCGCAAAGUUAUGAGAGGUGGUAGUCCAGGAAUGAAUAGAAGGACCACAGGAGGAGCUGCUGAUUCUGCUCUGCCACCCCCUGCUGCCUUGAGAGCUUCAAUGUCACUGCGGUUGCAAUUAUUGCUGAGAUUGCUU